rnacentral:lncRNA from 1 species
ACACACACACACACACACACAUGGCUCAGGAAGAGCCAGUAACUAUCUUGGUAUAGUUACUGCAUGCCACACUCUUGACUCUGUUAGAUCCUCCAGAACGAGCACGUGGGGCUAGCUGGACUCUGAUUCCUUUAUGCAACAUUUACUCAUUGCACACCUACUGUGUGCCAGGGAGGGCGGAGGAUAAAGACCCAGUCCUAGAGAAUUCAAAGUAUAAGGGGAGAGGCAGACAAUUAAAUAAUCUUCAUCAAAGCCAUUUUUUCAAGCAAAAUGAAAGAAGUCUAAUUAUUAUGCUAACAUUUAUAUAGCAUUAUUGUGCACUCUCUCAAUUUCUUUACAUGUGAAAUGGGAACUAUAAUUAUACUACUUCCUAUGACCGUUGAGUUGAACUUUGUAAAGAAUGAUGUCUAGGCUGGCAUACAGUAAGCACUUCAUACUUAAACGUUUAUCACCCAUCACUUUAUAUCGGGUUCUGUUAACGACUCUGGAGCAGGGUGUCCAAUUAAUUGCAAGUCCCAUUCAAAGCAAGCAUUAAUGAAGACAAGAUCUCCCUGUGCUGCUCAGACUGGUCUCAAAUUCCUGACCUCAAAUGAUACUCCUGCUGCAGCCUCCCUCUCGCUCCCAAUACCUGGGGCAACACAUGCACCACCUAUAAGCUCCAUUUCGCAGAUAAGAAAAUGCAACGAAGGCAAAGGCCAUUGUAGUAUUUAAUGCCUUUAAUUCCAGCACUCUGAGAGGCUGAGACAGGAGGAUCUUUGUGAAUUCCAGGCCAGCUUAAUUAACUACACUGCAAGUCCCAGGACAGCCUGGGCGACUUAGUCU